GACGAACGCUGGCGGCGCGCUUAACACAUGCAAGUCGAGCGAGAACCAGGGCUUCGGCUCUGGGGACAGCGGCGAACGGGUGAGUAACACGUGAGUAAUCUGCCCUCGACACUGGGAUAGCCCGGGGAAACCCGGAUUAAUACCGGAUAGCCUUUCGAGCUCUCGGGCUCGUCAGAAAAGGAUGGCUUCGGCUUUCGGUUGAGGAUGAGCUUGCGGCGGAUUAGCUUGUUGGUGAGGAACGGCUCACCAAGGCGACAAUCCGUAGCUGGUCUGAGAGGACGAUCAGCCACACUGGGACUGAGACACGGCCCAGACUCCUACGGGAGGCAGCAGUGGGGAAUCUUGCGCAAUGAGCGAAAGCUUGACGCAGCGACGCCGCGUGAGGGAAGAAGGCCUCGGUU
rnacentral:rRNA from 1 species